rnacentral:rRNA from 1 species
GGGUCAGUAGGUUGGUCGUGCCACCGGUACGUACUGGUCUCACUGAUUCCUCCUUCCUGAAGAACCUUAAUGCCAUUAAUUUGGUGUUGCGGGGAAACAGGACUGUUACUUUUAAAAAAUUAGAGUGUUUAAAGCAGGCUAACGCUUGAAUACAUUAGCAUGGAAUAAUGAAAUAGGACGAUCGAUCCUAUUUUGUUGGUUUCUAGGAUUGGCGUA